UGGGGCGAAUUCGGGCGAUUUUGGGGCUUUUCGGGGUCACCCCCGGCGAGCAUGGGCAACGUUUGGGCCGCCGGGUCCCCCCCCCCCCCCGCUGCCCCUCCCCCCCUGCUGCCCGUGCCCCCCCCCGGCUUCGGGGCCCCUCCCCCCGUCAGCGGCCUGGGGGGGGCGGGGCCGCCCCUCCCCCACCGCCCCCCGGAGGGGGGGGAGCCCCUCCCGAACCCCGGCGCCUUCGAGGAGUGCCACAGGCGGUGCAAAGAGCUGUUCCCGGUGCAGAUGGAGGGCGUGAAGCUGACGGUGAACAAAGGGCUCAGCAAUCACUUCCAGGUGAGAAUUCCCA